rnacentral:rRNA from 1 species
AACGAACGCUGGCGGCAUGCCUAACACAUGCAAGUCGAACGAGACCUUCGGGUCUAGUGGCGCACGGGUGCGUAACGCGGGGGAACCUGCCCUUAGGUUCGGAAUAACUCCCCGAAAGGGGUGCUAAUACCGGAUAAUGUCUUCGGACCAAAGAUUUAUCGCCUUUGGAUGGGCCCGCGUUGGAUUAGCUAGUUGGUAGGGUAAAGGCCUACCAAGGCGACGAUCCAUAGCUGGUCUGAGAGGAUGAUCAGCCACACUGGGACUGAGACACGGCCCAGACUCCUACGGGAGGCAGCAGUGGGGAAUAUUGGACAAUGGGCGAAAGCCUGAUCCAGCAAUGCCGCGUGAGUGAUGAAGGCCUUAGGGUUGUAAAGCUCUUUUACCCGGGAUGAUAAUGACAGUACCGGGAGAAUAAGCACCGGCUAACUCCGUG